GGAGCUGGAGGCUGGGUGACAAUGAAUGCAGCAAGGUCAGCUCUCUGGAAAGUUUCAGGAGUGCUGCAAUGGCUGAAUGAUCUAUUGAUGAAGAAAGGAAAUAUAAAAUAUUGAAGAAGCAUUCUGUAUUUGUUUAAUUCCUGAGUCUGUUCAACCUGAAGAGAAGUUCCUUAGUUUAAAUAACUAAUGGCAAUACAGUGCAGAAGAAAGAAAAUAUAGGAAUAUGUAAUCUUUGUUGGAAACCUUCUUUGUAGGAGCUUUUCCAGAGAUUUUGUAUCUCUCUUCAAACUCUGAGUGUUAGGAAAGAUGUAAUGUAAUAUCAAACUUCAUUUUUUUCUCUUAUUCUACAGUUCCUUCUUUUAAAGCAUCUCUUCCAAGCUGAUAGCCUCCUAAAUUUCUAGACACAAUUGUAGUCUUUGUAGGAAAUUACUUAUCGUGAUGAUUGCGGCCUCACUGGCAUCAUUUCCAUUUGAAAUUCACCAGUAUUAAAGAAAUGAAUGACGCUAUCUUAAAAAAAAAAAAAAUGUUUUUUGGAGGCACAGGAGGUCUUGUCAGACAGCAUCAUCCAGCUAAAUCUUUAGGACAGUUUGACUCAUUUUUCUUUCCCUAAUAUGUGCAUCUCUGUACAAAUGAGGUCUUGCUUUCAGUGACUCAACCCUUAGUCUUUCAAAAUGGCCCAAUAAAGAAAGGGAAUGACUUUAUCUAAUUUUCUGAACAUUUUUGCUGUUAUCAUAUUAGUUGUUUCCAGGACAAUGGGCAGUUCAGAGCUUGCUAACAGCUCUUCCUACUGUCUUCCUACUGAUUCACAGGUAACACAAUGUGAAAAAGUUCUGGUCCCUUACCUCAGUUGGACCAGCUACUUCUCUCAAAUGCUGGGGGGAAAACCCAUCCAUGCAGUUUUUGGAAGAGGGGCAACUUCCCAAGUGCAAGGUGGGCUUGCAGAAAGGAUCAGGCCCAGCCAGUCACAUUCUUUUCUUGCAGGGACACACGCUUCUGGAGUGGAAAGACUCCAGCCUUGCCCUCCCCUGCAGUAACCUCUUGUGGUUGAAUGCCUGCUGUUCAGUUUUGUCUUUGGGCCACAUGUCUCUAAGAAAGGUCUUAUCUCAGUCACUACCCUUGAAAAUCCACUAUUUCAUUUUUGAGCUGACCCUGGCGUUCCUGGUGCCAUGGUGGCACGUCUGCUGCUGCCCCUGUCCCUGGGGGGUGCCUACCCCAGCCUGCAGCUGGGACAGCGGCCCUGGAACCCCUGCUGAUGCCAUGGAGAGCCAAACCCAAGCACAAUGCAUGUCAGGCUCUGCGCAGCCUUUCCUGAAUCUCUCCCAGUUUCUCUAGGCUAGCUACUAAUACAACCCACCUGGCUUUCUCCCAUCCAAAAAAUGAAAAAAGAGGCAAGUUCCCAGAAAGAAAACAACAGGGAAGCAAGGAUAUUACACAGAGAAUGUAUCAGCUGUGUGAUUUUUAUGUAACAACAAUUUUAGGAGGUUUCAACUCAUUUUUGUAUCGUAGUAACAUCUUUUUGUGCUGCUGCAGCUACGACUGGGCUGCACUCUGAAAUGGAUCAGCAGGAGAUCCAAAAAAAAAAAAAAAAGCCUUUAAUCAGGUCCAAAAGCAUUGGUCUCAUUCUGAUUCCUGCAACUAGUUUGCAGCUCCAUAGAGAGAGGUCUAGGCCCAAGCUGGAAGGUGGGAAAAUGUAGCUGGGAGGUGGCCAACAGCUCCUCAAGCCGCUGGUCCUCCAAGGGACCGCAGUGAGGAGCCAGUCCCACACACACCCUCCUGUGGAGGCAAGUGCAAAGGGUGUGUGUGCAGGCAUCCUGCUGGAUUUGCCCCAGUAGCAGACUCUUUUUGGUGCUCAGUUGCAAAGCACCACAAUGAACAAUGCUGUCACCAGGCUUGCAGCUUAUCAAGGAGGGCAGCUGGAUCACAGAGUCACAGACAGCUGCUUUGGGAAGGGACUCAGCCUGCUAACAGUGCCUGUACUGCCAUAUGACGUUCUGCAAGAGUGAGUUUUGCCUUAUAAAGUGUGUGGUGCCUCUAUCCCUAAAUUCCUGGCUUUUGAAAGAGAGGUAGAAGCUUGCAGAUCAUUCAGGAAUGUGAAUGGAGCAACUAAUGUUUAAAGGAAGUAGUAGGUGUAUAUUUUGAUCUUGAACUGCAGCAACGUUAGUGAGUACAGAUGGGGAUGUGGCAAUAAUGUUAAGGGAAGUAUUGGUCAGUUUUGCGUUUCUUGUGGCUAUUGUUGAAUGAAAUGCAGCUGAAAAGAGAGAAGAGAUUGCAUGCAAUGUUUCUUUUUAUUUUAUUUUUUGGUAAUGUGAAUGCAAGCUAAUCCCAACAGGACUAGUCAUUGAUGUUUCAAAAAACUACCCCUGGAAACACAGAUAUUUCAAGAAAUGUUUAAAACAACAACAAACAAAGAGUAAGAGCCAUUCAAAGAGACUGGGAAUGUUAUAAGGACAAAAGUAUCCCAGUGGGAAGUGUCUGAAUUAGAAGAGAUGUAAGAGGAUGCUGUGAAGUAGAUGAUUGCUCGUUGGGCGAAGGAAAGAAUCAACGCAUCAGGGUGAGCUUCUCCCAGAGCGAAUGUCCAUAUAUCCAGGACAAGGCAGUUUUCUAUCUCACUGUUCCUCUUCCGUGACUUUCCUCCCUGAAAGAUGUACUCCCUGCACAGGACUGUCUCCUCCGAAGUCAUUGAUUCUUUCAGCUCUUAGCUCUGUAAAAAGACCCUUGUGGGUUAGCAGCACAUAAACUCAGUAACCAUAGUCUGCUUUGAGAGACUGUCAAUAUAGAAGGCUCCAUCAGUUCUCUGUUUGUUUACAUUGGUAUGUAUUCCAAAUUGCUGUCUCUAAUACCUGGGCCAGACUUGGAACUAAUUUACUGAACAUACCUGGUGUUUCACUUCCUGAAAGGGUCGAAUUAAAGUGGUGUUAAAGUAACAAACGUACUCAAAGAGCUUUAGCACAAAAUGUUAUGAAGAUUUGCAUUAGUUCCAGGCAUUAGAGCUGAAUAUUUUAGAUGUUUCAUAGUAUGCACUGGGUUCCUUUUAGUUACCUUUGUAAAAUCCAGUCCAUGCUAUGGAGGUAAUGCAGCAUUUGGAUUGCAAGGGCACGUAGUACAACACCAAGCAUCAGUUCACCACGGAUAUUUUUACACGAUAUCAGUCUGUACAGUAUGUCAGUCUUCUCUAGGGCAAAGCUGAGCCAGCAUAUCAGAAAGAAUGUAUUUUUGGCUCCUUCCUCAAGUGUAAGCAUCCUGGCUAAUCCCACAUAGGUCAUCUGAUCAUCCCUUUUUAUUCUUCCCACAAUAUGGGAUAAAGAUUUCACUACUUCCCAGGAAAGCUGUGAGAAUAAAAACUCAAAUGCUACUUCAGGAAGAUUUUAUGAAGUACCUUGGCAGAUAGUCAGUCUGCACCCAGCACCUUUCUUUCACGUUUUUCCUCACAGAGAGGAAUUCAAAAGACAUUGAAAAUGUGUGGUGUCUGUUCACCUCCCAGUAAUUCAUUCCACUGAAAGAAAGAAUAGC
rnacentral:lncRNA from 1 species